GAAACAGGUUGCUGAGUUUGGGAGACCUGUGGGCAACACACACCCAUUUCAGUCCCUGUCCACUAGGGGAUGCAGCUUUCUAUCACAAUCACAUUUCCUGUGUGAACUGAGGGCUUUCACUAAGCAUUUCUUUGUCACUCUGCGUUUCUUCACGUUGAAGAAUGAAGAACAUUAUUUAGGUGACACUCCAGAGAUGAAGUGUUCUUCAGGCAUCGUGAUCGUCUUAGUCUUCAUGCUAGGACAAACCCAUGGAGACUCAGUGAAACAGAUGGAAGGCCAAGUGACCCUCUCAGAAGAGGCUUCGUUGACUAUAAACUGUACUUUCUCAACAUCAACGACACCCACUCUCUUCUGGUAUGUCCAGUAUCUGGGAGAAGGUCCACAGAUCCUCCUGAAAGCAUUAAGAGACAAGGAAAAGGGAAGCAACAAAGGAUUUGAAGCAACCUUGGACAGUUCAUCCAAAUCCUUCCACUUGAAGAAAGGCUCAGUGCAAAUGUCAGACUCAGCUGUGUACUACUGUGCCCUGAGUGACACAGUGAUGGGGACUGCAUGGGGAGCUGAGCACAAACUCAGAGUAGAGCAGGGGCCUGGAUGCUGA